GCCAAUUUCUGGCUGCAAGUCCCAAGUUGAGCUCCCUGUCCUCCUGCAGGCUUGAACUGUUCAAGAUUGUAUUGCAGGUUCCAGCUGCCCGUACCCUGAAGAUAGUCCAGGUUCUGAUGGGAGGUGUUGGUCCCUCCAACUUACCAAGAACAAAAUUUGAAAAACUGGCAGACAGGCAGGCCUGUGCAUGCCUUACCGAGGUCCUGAGUCACACAGAACACGUGGAAUCACCCUGCUGCAGACAGGCAGGUCUGCCCACACCCUACCAAGGUCCUGAGUCACACAGAACAUGCCAAAUCAGCCUACUGAAGAUAGGCAGGUCUGUGCACGUCCUACCAAGGUUCUGAGUCACAGGGAAGAUGCCGAAUCACCGCUACAGACAGGUAGCCACCUGGUUCCACACUACAAAGAUGCAGAGGAC
rnacentral:lncRNA from 1 species